ensembl:lncRNA
GGCGUCGGACUCGGAGCCCCGCGUAGUUCCGGAGGCGACUGCGACGCAUGGCGGCGAGCGGUGUGGAGAAGACGCGCGGGUGGCGGGGCCUUGCACUGCGGCGGCCCUCCGGCACCCUUGUGCUGCCCCCCUUCCUCCAGGCCCUAGGACCUCAUGCCGGGGAGGCAGCGUGGGCCCCAGGCCCCGGUACUCUGCGCCUCCCGCAGACGCCGGCUUCCCGGCCCGGUUUCCAGCGCCGGGAAUCCUUCCACUGUCUGUCUCUGCCCAGGGCAACCCCUGCGCAGUAACGCGGACCCCAUAGCGCACCCGUUAGGCGAUGAAGGCGCAAAAGAAGAGGAAGAAAACCCGGAACAGGGCCUCGGUGGCAAAUGGAGGCGAGAAGGCCUCAGAGAAGCCCGCCCCAGAGGAAGUUCCCGUACAAGCAGUUGGCCCAGGGAUUGGCUUGGUGCGUGGAGCGACUGCAGCUGGGUCUCCAGAGGCAGAAACUCACCCCGACACGAACGGAGUCUCACUCCGUUGCCAGCCUGGAGUGCGUUGGUGUGAUCUCGGCUCACUGCAUCCUCCACGUCCCAGGUUCGAGCGAUUCUCCUGCCUCAACCUGCCACGUAGCUGGGACUACAGAACAGCCCUCAUGCUUGCUGUGCACUAUGACCCGCCAGGUAUUGUCAACAUCCUUCUUAAGCAAAAUGUUAAGAGCUCUACUCAAGACAUGUGUGGAUGAGAGGCUGAAGACUUCCCUCUUGUGGGUUGACAAAACGGAGUCUCACUCCGUUGCCAGCCUGGAGUGCGUUGGUGUGAUCUCGGCUCACUGCAUCCUCCACGUCCCAGGUUCGAGCGAUUCUCCUGCCUCAACCUCCCACGUAGCUGGGACUACAGAUUCCACUUCUGCAAGACUCUACAGAAGUCUCCAACCUUCAAAUCUUCAGUCUCCGAAAGCACCGAUUCCUGAAAGGAUGGCCUCAAAUGACCAAGUAUACGAGCCGUCUAUAUCCCUGCUCCUGAAAAACAAGCUAACUGGACUCUCCAUCACCUUCCCCCAGCACAGACGCACUACCAGCUACGCAGCUGAACUCCAUGACUGACUUGCCAUCCAAUCAUGCCCCUGACCCAGCCUACAUGAACAAGGGAAGGAACAUCAGCGAAUUAGGAAAAGAGGCAGAGGUGAGGAGACCACCUGUCCUGGGCCACAGAGCUAUGUAGAGUUCAUCAAUCUCCAGCCCCUUAGUAUUCCAGGGGCUCUAAACCACCUUCUGUAAGUCAGGAUGGAAGUAGAUGGUGCCACGAAGAUUUCUCUCUGCUGUAGCCACUCCUUCAGUGUCUCAAAAUGUUUUAACAUCUUUCAGUAAAAAUCUGUCAGUCCUUGAUAAAUUAAAAAAAAAAAAGGCAGCAAAGUUUUUAGAGCUCCCUUGAACCUUCUAUUUUAAGGCGCCUUUGUAGAUAAUUCCCAACAUUCUGUGUGUCGGUCAUCUUUGGAAUUUAUCGAUCGAUCAUUGUUUCUCUUCAAACUUGGCCUUGCCCUGCCCAUUCCAUUCUUACCCGCUUUCAUUGGCUUCACUAGUCAAUUCCACACUCAUUCUAGACACUGGGUGCACGAGACUCACUCCCGUUUGUAUUACCAAAACUCAGGCCAAUAGGAUAUAAAAAGUAGGAAGAAUACUGGGAUUUAACAUGAGUACAAAUCUCAUUUCUUCCAAUUCCUAUGUCUUCUUGAAUCCUAAUCUUUCUGAGACUCAAGUUUUCUAUCUAAACGAUCCCUUGACCAGAAUGUUCAACAGACGUGACAAUACUAGAACGUGUUUUAAUUCAUUCUAAGAUUCCUUAAAAUUCUGUAAUUCUAUGUGCUGCUGAUUCUGGGAAUACAUAGCCAGCAGAAUUUGAAAAACGAAUAGAAUUAAAGAAAUAACAAAGACAAAAAAAAAAAAAAA